rnacentral:misc_RNA from 1 species
UGCACUUAUUUCUUUGUCCAUGAUGGGUGCUACUGUUGUAUCAUCAUUCGUAACUAAGUUGGGGGAAAACCAACUCAGUGAAUAUAAAAUCAGAGCCAUAAAUAAUAAAAAAUGGUUGACAAGAUAUCACUUCAUGAAAUACUCAACUGAGCCAUAUCACUCGACGGAGUCUGAAAAAUUUUUUUAGAGGGCCAAUAUUAUAUAUAAAAAUUAAUUUA